rnacentral:rRNA from 1 species
CGCGUAGGCGGUUUCUCAAGUCCGGGGUGAAAUCUUUCGGCUUAACCGGAAAAGUGCCUUGGAGACUGAGAAGCUGGAGGGAGGCAGGGGCAGCUGGAACUUCCAGUGGAGCGGUGAAAUGCGUUGAUAUUGGAAGGAACUCCGGUGGCGAAAGCGAGCUGCUGGUCCUCUUCUGACGCUGAGGCGCGAAAGCUAGGGGAGCAAACGGGAUUAGAUACCCCGGUAGUCCUAGCCCUAAACGAUGGGUACUAGGUUGUAGACUUGACAUGGGUUUACAGCCGAAGCAAAAGUGUUAAGUACCCCGCCUGGGGAGUAUGGUCGCAAGGCUGAA